CCUACGGGGGGCAGCAGUGGGGAAUAUUGGGCAAUGGGCGCAAGCCUGACCCAGCAACGCCGCGUGAAGGAAGAAGGCUUUCGGGUUGUAAACUUCUUUUAUGAGGGACGAAAGAGAUGACGGUACCUUAUGAAUAAGCCACGGCUAACUACGGGCCAGCAGCCGCGGGAAUACGUAGGUGGCAAGCGUUCUCCGGAUUUACUGGGUGUAAAGGGCGUGUAGGCGGGAAUGCAAGUCUGUUGUGAAAAUUAUGGGCUCAACCCAGAACCUGCCAUGUAAACUGUUGUUCUUGAGUGAUGGAGAGGCAGGCGGAAUACCGUGUGUAGCGGUGAAAUGCGUAGAUAUACGGAGGAACACCAGUGGCGAAGGCGGCCUGCUGGAUAUUAACUGACGCUGAGGCGCGAAAGCGUGGGGAGCAAACAGGAUUAGAUACCCUUGUAGUC
rnacentral:rRNA from 1 species